rnacentral:rRNA from 1 species
UACGUAGGCAGCAAGCGUUGUUCGGAAUUACUGGGCGUAAAGAGUGUGUAGGUGGUUUCGUAAGUUUGGUGUGAAAUCUCCCGGCUUAACUGGGAGGGUGCGCCGAAGACUGCGAUGCUGGAGUAUGGGAGAGGAAAGCGGAAUUCCUGGUGUAGCGGUGAAAUGCGUAGAUAUCAGGAGGAACACCUGCGGUGUAGACGGCUUUCUGGACCAUUACUGACACUGAGACACGAAAGCGUGGGUAGCAAACAGG